UACGUAGGGGCCUAGCGUUGUCCGGAAUUAUUGGGCGUAAAGAGCUCGUAGGCGGUUCGGCAAGUCGGAUGUGAAAUCUCCACGCUUAACGUGGAGGGGCCAUUCGAAACUGCUGUGACUCGAGUCCGGUAGGGGAGUGUGGAAUUCCGGGUGUAGCGGUGGAAUGCGUAGAGAUCCGGAAGAACACCGGUGGCGAAGGCGGCCUGCUGGGCAGUAGCUGACGCUGAUGCGCGACAGCGUGGGGAGCAAACAGG
rnacentral:rRNA from 1 species